ensembl:lncRNA
CUUCAGGUGUGAGAGUUGUGCUCAGCGUGGCUGCGAGUUGUGGAGGUGGCUCGAGGCAGGGGUGGGACUGUGCUUAAAAACAAAAUAAACGGAAAGCGAGAAUAAUAACAAUAAACAGCAAACUGAUUGAUCCCACUGCAAGCAUUUCUCUCGUUUUUCCUUUAAAUUCGUUCUUCUGUGCGAUACAACUCUCAAGGUUAGUACACCGAGUGGAAGAGAUUCACACUAAUGCGUUCCAGCCCCCAACCCUUACAUUUUUAAUGGUGUGCUUCCCUCCCAGCAUUUUUUUUAAACACUUGACCUAUUUUUUCCUAUUUUUCUCGUACGGUUUUCACCCGCAAAAUGUCCCAACGCUGUAGUAUUUUACAUAGAAUGUUAUUAUCACUAGGAGAUUUUAUGUAUGGUAAUAAUAAAUCUGUAAAACUCAGAUUGACGUCACAUUGCACACUGCCUACUUGUGUAUGUACGUUCUGUCUUCAUGCAGAUUUACGGUUGGUUUAAAGAGGCAUAAUCUUUAUUCACCCACUGAGACUACUUGUUUGCCUCGGAUGGGCGGACGUGUCUCGCUCCUGCUGCAGGUUAGGGAGAUGGGGAGCCAGCUAGGGCUGUACAUCUUCUCUCUUGGAAGGAAGCCCUCCUGACCCCGCUGCCCAGUUGGUUAGCGAUAGCAGAAGGGGAUGGAGGGCUGGCUUGCAGCUGGCGUGCACUGUUCAGCCCUGAUGCGAGAUGGCUGCUGUCAAACAGGUGGUGCCGCAUGCUUUACUUGUAGCAGCCUCACCAAUUAGCAGCACGUACUAUUAAAGCUCACAUAUCAACCUGCAAUACCGACCUCCAGAUACCAACCGGGAAUGCCAGCCUCUGUACACCAACGCAAAAUACAGCCUCCAAACCUAAGGCACCUCACCGAGCCGCAUCUGAAGGCAGCUUGAGAUCCUUCACCUAGGUUAGGGUUGCAGCGACUGGUUUCAACAGAAGCAGCACCUAACCUGGCCCCCUUAAUCGCUUUGCUUGUGACCUCUGGGAAUGCCAUGCGGCACGAGGCCUUUGGUGCUGGGUUUUCCUUUCAGCCUGUUGAGGUGCCUGGGGAUGGUGUGAUGCAAGGCCUCCUGCAUGUCGUCAUGACUCACUGAGGCCUGCUCUCUGCUGCUCAGAGCACUCGCCAAACCUGUUGGCUUUUUGCUCUAGGACCGUGUCUCGCAAGGUGUGUCAUAUGGCUGUCGGCGGAGACAUGGCAUUGAGGAAGCCACUGAGGGCUCUACAGAGUUGAGCUUGCACUUUGGCAGACUACCGAGCAUAAAAAACCUAGCACAAGGGAUAUCUUGAGAUGGAGCUGGAUGUAACCCAUUGUACUGCUUUGUAUUUUCUUGCUUCUCCUUUCUUCACGUGAUGCUCAUACGGCAAAGGAGCUGCCCCAGCCACGUGACAGCAGCGUUCAAUCCUUGCGAUGUGGGAGCUGCUGUUUGAUGCAGCGCAGCAGCCUUUGGGCUUUGUAAAAGGGGGACGAAAGGCACACUUUUUGUUUCAAAUGAAGCCUCUCCCACCUAAGGAAUUUUCUUGGUGAAAUUUGGAAACUAACUGAACAGAAAUUUGAAGUAAUUCAGCAAAAAUGGUAGGCCAAUCAAAGGCUGAACAGCCUCCUUCAUACAAGCCCUGCUUUUUGCGUGUGUUGGAAACCGUUUGCUUUCAAUUGUUGAACUGUGAUUAUUUGCCAGGGAAAUUGUCCAUGUGGUGAGGGAGGUUAACUGGCUGUGACGGUCCUGUGCCCGAUGGCACUGAGCAGCUCUCUGCACAUUUUUCUCCAUACGAAGGCAAGCUGUGCUGUGGGGUUUCAGGAUGCCGUGCCGGACAUAGGGCUUUGCCCAGUGCUGCAACUGAUUCAUUUGUCUUCUUUCUUUCUUUUUUUUUUUUUCUUUUUUAACUCUACAUAGAUGUGAAAUGGAUAUGAAAACAGAUGUGCAUUGUUUAGGCUGGACAAGUUGCAUGUGUCAUGAGAAAUAUGACAAAUGAAGAUAAGGGUUUUUUCUAGAGCUACGAUAAGAAUAACGAGUACUAUUUUUUUAUUAUUUUAUUUUAAAUUUUCUUUUAAUUUUUCCCUCCAAAUGGUCUGAAUCCCUUUGGAAUUUGUGCACGGAAGCCAGUAUGGGUUGGAACCCCAUGUCAGCUACAGCGCUUUCAGGAAACGUUUCUCCAGCUGUAUAAAAUGCUAUGGGCCAUACACACCACACCCUGCUCAUAGGAAAAGACUUGUUUAAGCCAGUAGAUAGCUCUGUUUGCUGGGUUGACACCGAGCGCGGGGAAGGCUUGGCUUGCCUGGGGGAUGGAUCAGGAUGUCAGAAAGCAGUCCCUAUUGAAUAGCAACAUCCUGGUACUGCGUUUUUGGUUUUAAAAGAAAUGUGCUCUAGGCAGUUCAAUAAAAGACAGUCAUUAAUUUCUGUACUCCGUGUCAUGCAUUUGAUGCGCAGCGAUAGCUGAGAACAGGUGCUUUCCAAAGAGCCAAAGAAUAGUGUGUCAGUGAAAGGGAAGAUGGUAGGUCUCCAACUCUGAUCGUGCUUGUGAUUUAAGGGUUUGGCUUGAUGAAUAAGACAUUUCUAAGCAGGCAAACCUAGAACGUACCCCCUAAAGUCUCACCAAAUACCGCAUAAUCCUUUUGAUCACUGACUGUGGUGGGAAGCAGCUGCUGAUUGCGCAGGGAAAGGCUUACCAUAAGCUUUUCGAAUGUACGCGAGUGAAUUAGGAGGAAUGAAAAAGUAACUCGUGUCCCCAUAAGGAAGUCCCUGGGACUUGACCUCUGUUGGUAACAAUUCCCAAGGCACCUACCACUUGUUUAAAAACUGCCAGCAGACCUCACUUUCUGAGGAGUACCACCACACCAAGGAAGCAUUUCUCUGCUGCUGUAGCAUCUGCAUUUUUUUAAUAACUCACCUGGAGUUAUCUGGAGUUAUUAUCAUCUGGAGGAUCAUGCUAAACGAUGAUGUCUAGAAGCAUGCCGGUUUGUUAGACACAUCUUUGCUGUCUAGGAGCCUGGCCUGCCCUGUCUCUUUUCUCUUCUUUUGGAUACCCAUAUUGUGUUCCAUAGUCUUGUUCAGUCACACGCAGACACCUGUCCUGAAUCACUCUGUGGCAUCAUCUCAAGCCAUCUCCUGUUUGAGCAUCCUGUGCUUGCCGCUCUUUGUUGAGCUAUGUUGCACCAUACUUAGGAUGCGACAGCCAUUUAAUAAUGUUGAAGCCUUAGCUCUGCAGGGGCUAAGAAGAUCCCAGCAGGCUUGUUAACUUCUACUCUCAGACAUUAUGGGAAAUAUUUUCUCCUCCCUGGAACUCCUAGGCAUCUUCUUAAUUAAGAUCAUAAAAAUCCAUGGCCAGGUUUGCGUUAAGCCUUUUGAAUUUUUUUGCAGCUUUCCAGAGCUUCCCCAUAUUUAACCAGCCACCACAGUGCCAAGUGAAGUACGGGAGCUUAAAUAAAGGCAGCCUGGAGGUCGUGCUGGAUGCUGCAUUCUUAGUGGGCUGCA